rnacentral:rRNA from 1 species
GACGAACGCUGGCGGCGUGCUUAACACAUGCAAGUCGAACGGAAAGGCCCUGCUUUUGUGGGGUGCUCGAGUGGCGAACGGGUGAGUAACACGUGAGUAACCUGCCCUUGACUUUGGGAUAACUUCAGGAAACUGGGGCUAAUACCGGGUAGGAGUUCCUGCUGCAUGGUGGGGGUUGGAAAGUUUCGGCGGUUGGGGAUGGGCUCGCGGCUUAUCAGCUUGUUGGUGGGGUAGUGGCUUACCAGGGCUUUGACGGGUAGCCGGCCUGAGAGGGUGACCGGCCACAUUGGGACUGAGAUACGGCCCAGACUCCUACGGGAGGCAGCAGUGGGGAAUAUUGCACAAUGGGCGGAAGCCUGAUGCAGCAACGCCGCGUGCGGGAUGACGGCCUUCGGGUUGUAAACCGCUUUCGCCUGUGACGAAGCGUGAGUGACGGUAAUGGGUAAAGAAGCACCGGCUAACUACGUG